rnacentral:rRNA from 1 species
UGAGUAACCUGCCCUUAACUCUGGGAUAAGCCUGGGAAACUGGGUCUAAUACCGGAUAUGACUCCUCAUCGCAUGGUGGGGGGUGGAAAGCUUUAUUGUGGUUUUGGAUGGACUCGCGGCCUAUCAGCUUGUUGGUGAGGUAACGGCUCACCAAGGCGACGAUCCGUAGCUGGUCUGAGAGGACGAUCAGCCACACUGGGACUGAGACACGGCCCAGACUCCUACGGGAGCAG